CGCCCCCGGCGUCACGGUCUGUCCCUUGUCCCAGAGCCGGAGCUGGCAGUGUCCCAGUACAGCAGCGAGCGCCUUAUUCAUCCAGAGACACAUUGUGCUGGCAGCACCCGUGACACUGGAUAUCACAGCCCAUCUGUAUCAAUGUGGAGAUUACCUCAAAACCUGGACUGAAGAGCCUCUCCAAGAAAAGUGGAAGGGACCAUAUCAAGUGCUGCUAACCAUCUAUACUGGUGUUGUUAUAGGAGCUAUUCCAGUUUAGGCAGUUUUAUGCGUCCUAAUUCGGGUUGUACGGGUGUUAGGUAGGAUGGUUGAAUGUUAUGAUUUGGGUUGUAUAAAGUUAUGCUGUUUAAACUGUUGAAUAGAGGUGGAAGCUCUUUGUUUGGAGGACUGCAGUUGAUAUAAAGAAGCCAGGAGGUGGUGAUAUAGAGUAUGGAAGGUCCCUAAGCCCCAUUGGGAUUACAUUAGCCUUGGGAGAGGCAGCUGCACCCACCAAUCACCAGCCUUCCUCCAACCCGGACCUUGCACCAAUCACUGGACGCACUAUGAGGAGAGAGGGAGAGACCUAGUGACGAGCCAAUCAUCACCUGAGAAGUGGGAAAUCUAAGCCAAUGAACUGAGCCGCUAAGCAGCAACCCUGAGGACUGACCAAUCAGAAGGACUGAAAGAGAGCAUAAAAGGUCGUGUUCACCUGAGAACAUGUCCUCUUGUGGCUUCGAGUCUCUCACAGUGAAGUCCUUCUGUGAUUGAAGCCUACCACAGCGAGGUCCUCCCGCCUCUGGGUUAAGAGGAGAGGGCUACUCCCCCUCCUGGUUCUUCCACCUAGUCUGUUUGUUUUGUUCUCUUUUCUUUUAAUAAAUUACCAGUUAAUCACUUUUGUGGAUAACUGGCCCUCGUUUA